AGAGUUUGAUCCUGGCUCAGGACGAACGCUGGCGGCGUGCCUAACACAUGCAAGUCGAGCGAUGAAAUCCUUUGGGAUGGAUUAGCGGCGGACGGGUGAGUAACACGUGGGUAACCUACCUCAAAGAGGGGGAUAGCCUCCCGAAAGGGAGAUUAAUACCGCAUAACAUUAGUUUUUCGCAUGAAGAACUAAUUAAAGGAGUAAUCCGCUUUGAGAUGGACCCGCGGCGCAUUAGCUAGUUGGUGAGGUAAUAGCUCACCAAGGCGACGAUGCGUAGCCGACCUGAGAGGGUGAUCGGCCACAUUGGAACUGAGAUACGGUCCAGACUCCUACGGGAGGCAGCAGUGGGGAAUAUUGCACAAUGGGCGAAAGCCUGAUGCAGCAACGCCGCGUGAGUGAUGAAGGCCUUCGGGUUGUAAAGCUCUGUCUUU
rnacentral:rRNA from 1 species